UGGGGGUUUAGCUCAGCUGGGAGAGCACCUGCCCUGCAAGCAGGGGGUCAUGAGUUCGAGCCUCAUAAUCUCCAU
rnacentral:tRNA from 1 species